rnacentral:rRNA from 1 species
GACGAACGCUGGCGGCGUGCUUAACACAUGCAAGUCGAACGGAAAGGCCCUGCUUUUGUGGGGUGCUCGAGUGGCGAACGGGUGAGUAACACGUGAGUAACCUGCCCUUGACUUUGGGAUAACUUCAGGAAACUGGGGCUAAUACCGGAUAGGAGCUCCUGCUGCAUGGUGGGGGUUGGAAAGUUUCGGCGGUUGGGGAUGGACUCGCGGCUUAUCAGCUUGUUGGUGGGGUAGUGGCUUACCAAGGCUUUGACGGGUAGCCGGCCUGAGAGGGUGACCGGCCACAUUGGGACUGAGAUACGGCCCAGACUCGUACGGGAGGCAGCGGUGGGGAAUAUUGCACAAUGGGCGGAAGCCUGAUGCAGCAACGCCGCGUGCGGGAUGACGGCCUUCGGGUUGUAAACCGCUUUCGCCUGUGACGAAGCGUGAGUGACGGUAAUGGGUAAAGAAGCACCGGCUAACUACGUG